GAUGAACGCUGGCGGCGUGCCUAACACAUGCAAGUCGAGCGAUUCUCUUCGGAGAAGAGCGGCGGACGGGUGAGUAACGCGUGGGUAACCUGCCCUGUACACACGGAUAACAUACCGGAAGGUCUGCUAAUACGGGAUAACAUGAGAGAGUCGCAUGGCUUUUUUAUCAAAGCUCCGGCGGUACAGGAUGGACCCGCGUCUGAUUAGCUAGUUGGUGAGGUAAUGGCUCACAAAGGCGACGAUCAGUAGCCGACCUGAGAGGGUGAUCGGCCACAUUGGAACUGAGACACGGUCCAAACUCCUACGGGAGGCAGCAGUGGGGAAUAUUGCACAAUGGGCGAAAGCCUGAUGCAGCAACGCCGCGUGAGCGAUGAAGGCCUUCGGGUCGUAAAGCUCUGUCCUCAAGGAAGAUAAUGACGGUACUUGAGGAGGAAGCCCCGGCUAACUACGUGCCAGCCGCCGCAGUAA
rnacentral:rRNA from 1 species